rnacentral:tRNA from 1 species
GGGGGUAUAGCUCAGUUGGUAGAGCGAUAGCAUCGCACGCUAUAGGUCGGGCGGUUCGAAUCCCCCUGCCUCCACCA